GUGAGCAACCUGCCCAUAAGAGGGGGAUAACAGUUGGAAACGACUGCUAAUACCGCAUAAGACCACAUUACCGCAUGGUAGAGGGGUCAAAGAAAUUCGCUUAUGGAGGGGCUCGCGUCCCAUUAGGUAGUUGGUAGGGUAAAGGCCUACCAAGCCGACGAUGGGUAGCCGACCUGAGAGGGUGAUCGGCCACACUGGAACUGAGACACGGUCCAGACUCCUACGGGAGGCAGCAGUGGGGAAUAUUGGGCAAUGGGCGCAAGCCUGACCCAGCAACGCCGCGUGAGGGAAGAAGGCCUUCGGGUUGUAAACCUCUGUCCUAUGGGAAGAAGAAAGUGACGGUACCAUAGGAGGAAGCUCCGGCUAACUACGUGCCAGCAGCCGCGGUAAUACGUAGGGAGCAAGCGUUGUCCGGAAUUACUGGGCGUAAAGGGUGCGUAGGCGGUUGUUUAAGUCAGAUGUGAAAUACCCGGGCUUAACUCGGGGGCUGCAUCUGAUACUGGAUAACUAGAGUGCAGGAGAGGAAAGUGGAAUUCCUAGUGUAGCGGUGGAAUGCGUAGAUAUUAGGAGGAACACCAGUGGCGAAGGCGACUUUCUGGACUGUAACUGACGCUGAGGCACGAA
rnacentral:rRNA from 1 species